CGGGACACGUGGUAUCCUGUCUGAAUAUGGGGGGACCAUCCUCCAAGGCUAAAUACUCCUGACUGACCGAUAGUGAACCAGUACCGUGAGGGAAAGGCGAAAAGAACCCCGGCGAGGGGAGUGAAAAAGAACCUGAAACCGUGUACGUACAAGCAGUGGGAGCACGCUUAGGCGUGUGACUGCGUACCUUUUGUAUAAUGGGUCAGCGACUUAUAUUCUGUAGCAAGGUUAACCGAAUAGGGGAGCCGAAGGGAAACCGAGUCUUAACUGGGCGUUAAGUUGCAGGGUAUAGACCCGAAACCCGGUGAUCUAGCCAUGGGCAGGUUGAAGGUUGGGUAACACUAACUGGAGGACCGAACCGACUAAUGUUGAAAAAUUAGCGGAUGACUUGUGGCUGGGGGUGAAAGGCCAAUCAAACCGGGAGAUAGCUGGUUCUCCCCGAAAGCUAUUUAGGUAGCGCCUCGUGAAUUCAUCUCCGGGGGUAGAGCACUGUUUCGGCAAGGGGGUCAUCCCGACUUACCAACCCGAUGCAAACUGCGAAUACCGGAGAAUGUUAUCACGGGAGACACACGGCGGGUGCUAACGUCCGUCGUGAAGAGGGAAACAACCCAGACCGCCAGCUAAGGUCCCAAAGUCAUGGUUAAGUGGGAAACGAUGUGGGAAGGCCCAGACAGCCAGGAUGUUGGCUUAGAAGCAGCCAUCAUUUAAAGAAAGCGUAAUAGCUCACUGGUCGAGUCGGCCUGCGCGGAAGAUGUAACGGGGCUAAACCAUGCACCGAAGCUGCGGCAGCGACGCUGAUGCGUUGUUGGGUAGGGGAGCGUUCUGUAAGCCUGUGAAGGUGUGCUGUGAG
rnacentral:rRNA from 1 species